rnacentral:rRNA from 1 species
AGCGAACGCUGGCGGCAGGCCUAACACAUGCAAGUCGAACGAAGUCUUCGGACUUAGUGGCGGACGGGUGAGUAACACGUGGGAACGUGCCUUUAGGUUCGGAAUAACUCAGGGAAACUUGUGCUAAUACCGAAUGUGCCCUUCGGGGGAAAGAUUUAUCGCCUUUAGAGCGGCCCGCGUCUGAUUAGCUAGUUGGUGAGGUAAAGGCUCACCAAGGCUACGAUCAGUAGCUGGUCUGAGAGGAUGACCAGCCACAUUGGGACUGAGACCCGGCCCAAACUCCUACGGGAGGCAGCAGUGGGGAAUCUUGCGCAAUGGGCGAAAGCCUGACGCAGCCAUGCCGAGUGGAUGAUGAAGGUCUUAGGAUUGUAAAAUCCUUUCCCCGGUGAAGAUAAUGACUGUAGCCGGAGAAGAAGCCCCGGCUAACUUCGUGCCAGCCGCCGCAGUAACAC